GAGUUUGAUCAUGGCUCAGAUUGAACGCUGGCGGUAUGCUUAACACAUGCAAGUCGAACGGUAGCAGGCCUUCGGGCGUUGACGAGUGGCGGACGGGUGAGUAACGCGUAGGAAUCUGCCUCAUAGUGGGGGACAACGUGGGGAAACUCACGCUAAUACCGCAUACGCCCUACGGGGGAAAGCGGGGGACCUUCGGGCCUCGCGCUAUGAGAUGAGCCUGCGUUAGAUUAGCUAGUUGGUAGGGUAAAGGCCUACCAAGGCGACGAUCUAUAGCUGGUCUGAGAGGACGAUCAGCCACACUGGGACUGAGACACGGCCCAGACUCCUACGGGAGGCAGCAGUGGGGAAUAUUGGACAAUGGGCGCAAGCCUGAUCCAGCAAUACCGCGUGUGUGAAGAAGGCCCUAGGGUUGUGAAGCACUUUCAAUGGGGAGGAAAACAGUCAGAUUAAUACCCUGGCUCUUGACAUUACCUUUAGAAGAAGCACCGGCUGACUCCGUGCCAGCAGCCGCGGUAAUACGGAGGGUGCGAGCGUUAAUCGGAAUUACUGGGCGUAAAGCGUGCGUAGGCGGUUCGUUAAGUCAGAUGUGAAAGCCCCGGGCUUAACCUGGGAACUGCAUUUGAAACUGGCGAACUAGAGUUUAAUAGAGGGGAGUGGAAUUUCA
rnacentral:rRNA from 1 species